AUACGGAGGGGGUUAGCGUUGUUCGGAAUUACUGGGCGUAAAGCGCACGUAGGCGGACUGGAAAGUUGGGGGUGAAAUCCCGGGGCUCAACCCCGGAACUGCCUCCAAAACUUCCAAUCUAGAGAUCGAGAGAGGUGAGUGGAAUUCCAAGUGUAGAGGUGAAAUUCGUAGAUAUUUGGAGGAACACCAGUGGCGAAGGCGGCUCACUGGCUCGAUCCUGACGCUGAGGUGCGAAAGCGUGGGGAGCAAACAGGAUUAGAAACCCUAGUAGUCC
rnacentral:rRNA from 1 species